rnacentral:lncRNA from 1 species
CCUGUGUAUUUUGAAAUGAUGAAAUUUGAGAAAGAUUGAGAGAGGACGGACGUGGGGCUGGAGCUAGAGGCGACGGAAGGGCGACGACUCGCCGGUCCCUCAACAGCGUCGCCGGCGACCUCGCGUGGACCGGAUCAGAAGAUGGGGGCUCGUCCCUUUUGGGCUUGAUUGCGUGUCUGAGAAUAUGAAAUGAAGAGGGAGAAAAAAAAAAAAGGAAUGAAGGUAGCGCCGCCCGUCGGAACGGCGGCGGCGACAAUUGAGAAGGGAGAGAGAGUUUAGGUUGUGUUAUGGAAGUAGAAGAAGAAAAAGAGGGUGGGGGCC